GCCGUCUCUGAUCUAGGGUUUUAUCAUUCCCAGCAAGCUCUUCGAUUCCUCUCGAAGAGCUCCUCACUUCCCGUCUCUCCCAACCAUGGCGACCACUCAGAAGGCCAUGAGCAAGAAGCGCAAGUUCGUUGCCGAUGGCGUAUUCUUUGCCGAAUUGAAUGAAGUCCUCACCAGGGAGCUCGCCGAGGAUGGUUACUCCGGCGUGGAGGUCCGCGUCACGCCGAUGCGUACCGAGAUCAUCAUCAGAGCCACCAGGACUCAGAACGUCCUUGGUGAGAGGGGGCGGCGGAUUCGGGAGCUGACCUCGGUCAUCCAGAAGAGGUUCAAAUUUCCCGAGAACGCAGUUGAGUUGUAUGCUGAGAAGGUGAACAACCGUGGGCUCUGUGCCGUGGCUCAGGCUGAGUCUCUCCGUUACAAGCUCCUCGGUGGUCUUGCUGUCCGGAGGGCUUGUUAUGGUGUCCUUAGGUUCAUUAUGGAAAAUGGAGCUAAAGGUUGUGAGGUCAUAGUCAGUGGGAAGCUCAGGGCCCAGCGUGCUAAGUCCAUGAAGUUUAAGGAUGGCUACAUGAUUUCUUCUGGUCAGCCU
rnacentral:misc_RNA from 1 species